UGGCAGUAAUGAUUCUUAUUAAUAUAUAUUAUGUGUUGCUCCUAUGAUGUAACUUUUCCCACUGAGAAAUAUUUCAGUUGUUCUGUAACAUUCCCAAAGAAUGUGUCCCUGGAACUGUGUGAAUGGCUCCAUUUGCUAAUAAUGAUACAAUAAAAUAUAACAGAUUGUUUUAAGUUACUUCAAGUUUCUCUUUCCUGGUUCACACUUACCCUGUCUUAGACUCCAUUAUUUCUUCCUCCGGACUGUCAGUCCCAGCCCUGGAAAGGUGGCUCUUCUGGUUGUCGUCUCUUAAGUUUGAGCAUCCAGUAAUGGUAGAUCCCACCCGAGACGAAUGCUGGGCACGGGCAGGACCCUCCCUUGGCUGGGUCUCACCCCUUCUAUGAAUUGAGGACCCAGCAUUCAUGUUCAGCCCCGGCCAGUUUACAAAUGGCAGCAGGUAAUGGGCCUUGAAGUCAUUGAUGAGUAGAUAAAACUUCAAAGAUUCAUCUGUGCAACCAAAUGGUCCCUGUACUCCUUAAUCUCCUGCUCAAGUCUGAACAUCUGUACAGAUACGGGCUGAUAAAUGGGGUGCACCUGGGCAGGCGCUGCAUCUGAGCCAGGCCUGCCUCGGCCCCCACCCCUGUGCUGCAGAGGGCUGGAGGAACCGCCAACGCAGUCAUCUGCCUUCAAGGGACAUGGGCCAGCCAAGCAUAAUCCACCAGCUUUUCCAGACAGGCCGCGUGCUCUGCAAGGCUUCCCUCUGCUCUGAUGCCGUGUGAUUACGAGAUCCCGAGUCCCUUUGGUGACAAUCCCCAUGACAUGUUACGAAAGGAGGUAUGACAAGAAGGCGGCAAAUCCUCACCAGCAGACCACUUGGCAGACUUCCAGGCCCCAGGGAGGAAAAGCCAGGAGCGCACUGCCAUGGCUGUCCCUCUGAGUUGUCAGCUACAGGAAGCGCCACAGGGGCCUUCAAAACCAGAAAAGAGCAGGGAAAGUGCGAGAAGGUGCCUGGCAUGAGGUGGCAGCAUGGACCCCACAGACCCUCGCUGGCUCAGAGCCAGUGGCCCAGAAGACAACUGAGGUCCUUGUGCCCCUCAUUAAGCCAGGCUGGGGACAGCUCAGAGGACACAGGCCGGAAGAAAGCAGCCCAAGGCCUCCCAGGAGCCUCGGUCCAGCAGGAACUGAAUCCAGAAUCCAGACACCGUCAGGACAGAAAGAAGGGCCAUGUCAGGGCGAGCAGAGGCAUUGGUUGUUCAUCGACACACGACACACGUUUGCUGAGCAUGCGGAAUCCAGCUGUGCGACCAGGAGGGCAGCCUGCUGUGACUGUGACGCUCCUUCUGUCCUGUCCAUCCCCAGUGCCACGCUCCCCCUGGGCUCAGGCCAGACCUGCAUCACCCUCCUUCCCAUGCCAUGCCACAUCACGCAGCCCUGGAAAAUGCGUCUCCUCCUCCCUGACUUCUUUUUUGGGUUCUGUCACUUCUUGCUGCCGCCAUCUUUUGAUCUUGUCAUCUACACCACAGAUUCGGAUCCUAAGUGUUUGCGGAGCCCAUGUCCGCUCUCCAGGAAGGGCUCCUGCCAAACCAACUCCAGAGGCUGCUGGAAUUUCCAGAGGUGGCCACAGUCAUGCAGGCAGCACAGCCACAACAAUCCAGCCUGGGGACCCCGGGCCAGCCUGUCCCUCCUCCCCUGUCCUGGUGAGCAAUAGUAAGCCCAGCUCUGUCCCCCACCCCACCCCCCAGGCUUCCUUUUCUUUUUUUGUCUUUUUCUUUGCCUUCUCCUCUGCUCCUGAGCUGGUGCUGUGGCCUCCUCAUCACCCCGGGCCUCCCCCUGGCUGAAACUGCAUGGCUUCAGCUGGAUCCCCGGGCUCUCUGUGGCCAAAGUCCCACCUUGACCUUGGCUUCCUCCUCUCUGCUGGGCUGCAAACACGGUCAGCACAGGAGGGACACCACCCUCCAGCCAGCCGGCCUGUGUGUGGGGUUUUCUUCCCACCUGCUGUCCCUUCCCAGCAGGUCUGCCCCACCCCGUCUGCAGCCCAAGUGUGGCCUCCCCGGAGAGGACCAGCCAUCCCUACCCCGACGCUCCAUGACAGCCUGCCCUGCUCCCUUGUUUCCGUGUGUCCCGUCCCCGGUGACCUUGAGCCCCUGGUGGGCCUCCUUCAGUGUCUGGAAGCACAGGCUGCACUUGUGGGAAGAACAAGGUGUAUCCCGCAGGGACUGGACAAGAGCAGCCCAGAGAGGAAGGAGCAAGCAAAACACCCACCACCACCUCUGGCUCUGAGGCAGUCACAGGCAGCUACAGAGAACCCAGACUGUCAGGGCUCCCACAGGCAGGAGAAUCAGGCUUUACACUCUCCCAGGCUCCAGAGCUCCCAGUACAGCGGCACCAGGCAGAGCCAGUGCACCCACCACCCCAUGCACCUCCCCAGCAGUUCAGGGUUUGAGCCAGAUGGACUGAAGGAUAGGAUUCUCCUGCCCACCCACCCCCCUUUGGAAUUCCAGGGGCUCUUGCUGGGAGGAGCUGGGAGCUUCCUUCUCACUGAGGAGCCUGUUAUGCUCACCAGGACAGGUGGUCAACUUAACGCCUGCUGGAUUACAUCAGCAUGGCAUUGACCAAAGAUGCUCCACCUGAGGAAAGUUGCCAGGAUAAAUAGGUGGAGAAGAAGGGAGAUGUUGAGGGUUGAGGCGUUAAGGAGGCAUUGUUGGAGUUGCUGUCUAAGCUGUUGGUUCUCCUGGAGAAGCCUUGGUCCUCACAUGGAGCAUUGCUUCCUGGCUCCGGAGGGGAAGACAUGUGCUGCUUGGUCUCCAGGAUGAACUCGUCACGCUGCUUCAUGGCAUGUACCUGACUGUGCAUGUCAUCGGAGGAGCUCGGGGCCUCUGUGUCGCUAAGGACAGCUGUGGUGCCUUUCAGGGUAGCCCUGGUCUUUGUUGUGAGUGUGACUUCUCGGCUCCAGCACAGAACCCUCAUCCCACUAGCACAGCUCCUUCAUCCUGCUGGCACAGACUUUCUUGCUUCCACCGCUGACCCUUGGGUCUUCCCCGCACGGAUCCGUAAAAGAGACUGGCGUGAGUCCUUCUUGUGGGCUCUGGACCGCCAGCUGGACUCGUGGGAGGCAUUGUCCUGAGCUCUGGGUUUUUAUCUGGACUCAUGUAGGACAUUGCCAUGGGGUUUAGGCUCUUGACUAAAUAAUCUAUGUCUUUGGUGUUGCGGAUAGAUUUCCUGCAUUUUCCUGUGUUAACUCCUGGUGGCCAUUAUAAAAAUAACAUUAUAAACUCCAUG
ensembl:lincRNA